CCUACGGUAGGCAGCAGUGGGGAAUAUUGGACAAUGGGGGGAACCCUGAUCCAGCCAUGCCGCGUGUGUGAAGAAGGCCCUCGGGUUGUAAAGCACUUUCAGUGAGGAAGAACGCCUGGUGGUUAAUACCCAUCAGGAAAGACAUCACUCACAGAAGAAGCACCGGCUAACUCCGUGCCAGCAGCCGCGGUAAUACGGAGGGUGCGAGCGUUAAUCGGAAUUACUGGGCGUAAAGCGCGCGUAGGUGGCUUGAUAAGCCGGUUGUGAAAGCCCCGGGCUCAACCUGGGAACGGCAUCCGGAACUGUCAAGCUAGAGUGCAGGAGAGGAAGGUAGAAUUCCCGGUGUAGCGGUGAAAUGCGUAGAGAUCGGGAGGAAUACCAGUGGCGAAGGCGGCCUUCUGGACUGACACUGACACUGAGGUGCGAAAGCGUGGGUAGCAAACAGGAUUAGAUACCCCGGUAGUC
rnacentral:rRNA from 1 species